CGCAUGCGCAUGAGAUGAUCCAGACCUGUGGCUCAAGAACUGUAGAGCAGUCCUUUUGUAUUAUGACAACAUGAGAGAGGAACUUGAGCAGUUUUGCGAUGACAUCAAGCAAUACUCAGUACACAAUAGCCUACUUUCACUGAGGUUUGCAGAAAUAAUGAGGAUGUACAACCAGGAACUGUUAUGUUGCAGGCAGUGAGUAGAGAACGAAUACAAAGAUGGUGAGUGAACA